UGACUUUACACAACUGUCCGGC
rnacentral:miRNA from 1 species